UAUGGCUGUCGUCAGCUCGUGUCGUGAGAUGUUGGGUUAAGUCCCGCAACGAGCGCAACCCUUGCCAUUAGUUGCUACAUUUAGUUGAGCACUCUAAUGGGACUGCCGGUGACAAACCGGAGGAAGGUGGGGAUGACGUCAAGUCCUCAUGGCCCUUAUGGGUAGGGCUUCACACGUAAUACAAUGGUCGGUACAGAGGGUUGCCAACCCGCGAGGGGGAGCCAAUCCCAGAAAGCCGAUCGUAGUCCGGAUCGGAGUCUGCAACUCGACUCCGUGAAGUCGGAAUCGCUAGUAAUCGCGGAUCAGCAUGUCGCGGUGAAUACGUUCCCGGGCCUUGUACACACCGCCCGUA
rnacentral:rRNA from 1 species